UACGUAGGGACCAAGCGUUGUCCGGAAUCAUUGGGCGUAAAGAGCGUGUAGGCGGCCUGUUAAGUCUUGCGUGAAAUCUCGGGGCUCAACCCCGAGCGGUCGUGAGAAACUGGCAGGCUAGAGUGCGGGAGAGGAGAGUGGAAUUCCUGGUGUAGCGGUGAAAUGCGCAGAUAUCAGGAAGAACACCCGUGGCGAAGGCGGCUCGCUGGGACGGUACUGACGCUAAGGCGCGAAAGCGUGGGGAGCGAACAGG
rnacentral:rRNA from 1 species